rnacentral:ncRNA from 1 species
CCACCGAAAAGGCAAACCCAGGGUAACCCGGGGGCGCAAAGCUUCCUGUCCACACCGGGUGGAUAGUGGGGCUUCCGAA